rnacentral:lncRNA from 13 species
AUGCAUGGCAUGAGUGAAGCCUGUCGAAGGAAAUGUGAUUUUCUAAAAGGGAAAUUAGUGACUCUUCAACAGGCAAGCAUUCACUUACAGCUGUCACCCAUGUUUGAUUUAGUGGAAGGGGCAGAAUUUAGAGAGGAAGACAUAACUGGGUGCAGAUCUUUCAUUUGUCAUUUGCUGGCUGAGGGACUUUGGGAAAAUCACUCAAGCUUCCUGAGGUAUGUUUCCUCAUUUACUAAUAAUGUUCCCACUUUAGGGCAUUGGGUGCAUGUAAGGGCUGUAUAUAAGGACCGGGGCAGAGUAACUACGGCACAUGGGAUUGGAACUGCUGGCUUCAGUUUCUUCCUCUUUCUAAGCAUUUGUAAUUCUGUUUCCGGCUGUUGUGUUAUGUUCCUUUGCUCUCCCCACACAGUCAAUUGCAUUUGUCCAGCUGAGUUUGACUUAAUGCCAAACUCUGUGUUUCCUGCUGCAAAUGAAGAAACGGGCAAGCACAUCCGGAUUCUCAGAGACCUAAUGGGCCAGAGGGCGGCAGCCCCCAGGCAGGAGGCAGAGGGCCAAGCUUCUGGAAGAGCCCCUGGACUCAGUGGUACACUGGAGGUGACCGGGCAGCCUCCGUGGACCGCCCGCCCCUGCACAUUUCUACCCUUGCCUCUGUUACUCCUGUCAGAAGCAAAUCCUCUCAGUAGCCCCAAGUCUCCAUUCUGGGACAGUUCCAGGCAGGUGAGGCAGCCAUGGGCUGGCAGUCUCAUGGGGAAAGUGCCAAGCAGAGAUCCAAGAAGAGAAGGAUGGGGCAGGAAGCAGGAGACCCAUACAUAGUUCUAUUUCUGGUGAGUGUCCUGGAUGACUUACAAGACGUUGGUGAUAUGAUGGGUCCCAGUUUAAAAUAAUGGCUGAGCAUCUGCAUUUAUCUUUCCUGCCUCCCAAAUCUCCCCUGAAACAGUAGUAAAGAAGCAUAAAAUUAAUAACAACAAAAGAGUGGGGUAGAGCAGUUAUUAGGAGGCAAGAGAUUUUUAUGAAUUUGAAGAACAUGGAUGACAAAGAAGAUUUUACUGAUGGGUAAAGCAAAAUAGAGCCCAGAGUGACUGCAGCAGAAAUAGUAGCUGUUCUUUCCCCUGAUAAUGGAGGAGGCAGGGAGAGAGAAGAGGGGAUAUGGGGG